rnacentral:rRNA from 1 species
UACGUAGGUGGCAAGCGUUGUCCGGAUUUACUGGGCGUAAAGCGAACGCAGGCGGAUCUUUAAGUAGGAAGUGAAAGGUUGGAGCUCAACUCUGACACUGCUCCCUAUACUGGAGAUCUUGAGUUCUGGAGAGGAAAGCGGAACGACACGUGUAGCGGUGAAAAUGCGUUGAUAUGUGUCGGAACACCGAUGGCGAAAGCAGCUUUCUGGACAGCAACUGACGCUGAGGUUCGAAAGCCAAGGGAGCGAACAGGA